AAUCAUGAAAUAGAUGCCACAUAAAAUUAUUCAAAAUUUGGUGUCUACAGUUUGCCCCUCUUUGUCUGAGUUUUGAAAAAACUUGAGACAAAGAAGUAGACACCAAAUACUUACCUGAGUCAUUCGGCUUCAGCUACUCGAACGACUGCUGUUAUUGACAUGAGGACUGACUCCUUUUAAUGAGACUGACUCGGACGAGAAAUUUAAAACGGGAUAGACCCGAACUGGAAGUUUAAAACGGGACAGACCCGGACAGAAAAUGUAAAAUUGGGAUAGCCCCACGGGAUAGACCCGAACAGAAAUUUAAGACGUGGUAGACCCGAAUAGGAAUUUAAAUGGGAUUGUAUGAAGAAAACUGCAUAAGACUUUAUUUGAACAUGUAUCCACAGAUUUGCCCCAGUAAUGAAUUGGUCAAUGGGAUUAAACCCGAUCCUGCCAAGAUUGGCGGGAUGAAACCCGGUCCCAAUUUGAUAAA
rnacentral:lncRNA from 1 species